GCAAGUCGAACGAGAUCUUCGGAUCUAGUGGCGCACGGGUGCGUAACGCGUGGGAAUCUGCCCUUGGGUUCGGAAUAACAGUUAGAAAUGACUGCUAAUACCGGAUGAAGUCUACGGACCAAAGAUUUAUCGCCCAGGGAUGAGCCCGCGUAGGAUUAGCUAGUUGGUGGGGUAAAGGCCUACCAAGGCGACGAUCCUUAGCUGGUCUGAGAGGAUGAUCAGCCACACUGGGACUGAGACAUGGCCCAGACUCCUACGGGAGGCAGCAGUGGGGAAUAUUGGACAAUGGGGGCAACCCUGAUCCAGCAAUGCCGCGUGAGUGAUGAAGGCCUUCGGGUCGUANAGCUCUUUUACCCGGGAUGAUAAUGACAGUACCGGGAGAAUAAGCCCCGGCUAACUCCGUG
rnacentral:rRNA from 1 species